rnacentral:rRNA from 1 species
AUUGAACGCUGGCGGCAGGCCUAACACAUGCAAGUCGAGCGGAGUGGCGGACGGGUGAGUAAUGCUUAGGAAUCUGCCAGGUAGUGGGGGAUAACGUCCGGAAACGGGCGCUAAUACCGCAUACUAUCAGAUGAGCCUAGGUCGGAUUAGCUAGUCGGUGGGGUAAAGGCCUACCAAGGCGCCGAUCCGUAACUGGUCUGAGAGGAGGAUCAGUCAAACUGGAACUGAGACACGGUCCAGACUCCUACGGGAGACGGCAGUGGGGAAUAUUGGACAAUGGGCGAAAGCCUGAUGCGGCCAUGCCGGGUGUGUGAAGAAGGUCUUCGGGUUGUAAGGCACGUUAAGUUGGGAGGCGUUACCAGCAGAAUAAGCACCGGCUAACUUCGUGCCAGCAGCCGCGGUAAUUC